rfam:Haemonchus placei strain MHpl1 genome assembly, scaffold: HPLM_scaffold0006687
ACAACUUGUACGCGAGUCAAAGGGUGGUAAAACCCUAAGGCGUUAUGAAAGUAAAGGUCGGGUAACCGGCUGACAUGGGAUCUGCUUUUCGAAGCAGCGCACCAUGGCCCUGUCUUGUCUGCCUGCAGAUAGGCAGCUUUAGAGCGUACAGGUUGCGACCCGGAGGAUAGUGAACUAUCUUCUUAUUUG